GCUAAUACCGCAUAAUGCCUUCGGGCCAAAGAGGAGGACCUUCGGGCCCCUCGCGUCAAGAUAUGCCUAGGUGGGAUUAGCUAGUUGGUGAGGUAAUGGCUCACCAAGGCGACGAUCCCUAGCUGGUCUGAGAGGAUGAUCAGCCACACUGGAACUGAGACACGGUCCAGACUCCUACGGGAGGCAGCAGUGGGGAAUAUUGCACAAUGGGCGAAAGCCUGAUGCAGCCAUGCCGCGUGUAUGAAGAAGGCCUUCGGGUUGUAAAGUACUUUCAGCUGUGAGGAAGGGGGUGUCGUUAAUAGCGGCAUCUCUUGACGUUAGCAACAGAAGAAGCACCGGCUAACUCCGUGCCAGCAGCCGCGGUAAUACGGAGGGUGCGAGCGUUAAUCGGAAUUACUGGGCGUAAAGCGCAUGCAGGUGGUUCAUUAAGUCAGAUGUGAAAGCCCGGGGCUCAACCUCGGAACCGCAUUUGAAACUGGCAGGCUAGAGUACUGUAGAGGGGGGUAGAAUUUCAGGUGUAGCGGUGAAAUGCGUAGAGAUCUGAAGGAAUACCAGUGGCGAAGGCGGCCCCCUGGA
rnacentral:rRNA from 1 species